AGGAUUAACGCUGGCGGCGUGCAUGAAACAUGCAAGUCGAGCGCGGUGUGAUGCGGGGUAACCCAAUUCACAUCUAGCGGCGAACGGGUGAGUAACACGUGAGCAACCUACCUUUGAGUUGGGGAUAGCCCUGGGAAACCAGGAUUAAUACCCGAUGUGGUCACAACAGGACAUCCUGAUGUGAGUAAAGGCGUAAGCCGCUCAAUGACGGGCUCGCGGCCUAUUAGCUUGUUGGUGGGGUAACGGCCUACCAAGGCGAUGAUGGGUAGCUGGUCUGAGAGGACGAUCAGCCACACUGGGACUGAGACACGGCCCAGACUCCUACGGGAGGCAGCAGUUAGGAAUUUUCCGCAAUGGGCGAAAGCCUGACGGAGCAACGCCGCGUGAGUGAUGACGGCCUUAGGGUUGUAAAGCUCUUUCGCUCGGGACGAUAAUGACGGUACCGAGAUAAGAAGCCCGGCUAACUCGUGCCAGCAGCCGCGGUAA
rnacentral:rRNA from 1 species